CUUUUUCGGGGAUGGAUACCACAACAGUUGCAGUACUGAAAGCUGCUAAUGUCAGCACAGACAUGCUUUCCAGUCUCUCCAAGGAGGACUUGCGAGACCUCUUUCCAGGGCCUGAGCACUUUAUCCGAAGGAUGGCCAUUUGGAGGACCAUACAUGGUGGAAAUGAGUAUGAACAAUUAGCCUACAACAACCAGCCUCACCCAGGCACCUCUGGAUGUGAUGCCACCUCUAUUCCCACUACCCCAACCCCAUCCACCCCUCCAUCCAUCCCCGCACCAGGAGACAGUGCCAGCAGAACUGUACAGCUUGUAUGUAGACAGUUUGU